CAGCCGUAAACUAUGCUCGCUAGGUGUCAGGCAUGGCGCGACCGUGUCAGGUGCCGCAGGGAAGCCGUGAAGCGAGCCACCUGGGAAGUACGGCCGCAAGGCUGAAACUUAAAGGAAUUGGCGGGGGAGCACAACAACGGGUGGAGCCUGCGGUUUAAUUGGACUCAACGCCGGACAACUCACCGGGGACGACAGCAAUAUGUAGGCCAGGCUGAAGACCUUGCCUGAAUCGCUGAGAGGAGGUGCAUGGCGUAGACGUCU
rnacentral:rRNA from 1 species